CCUAACACAUGCAAGUCGAACGGUAACAGGAAGAAGCUUGCUUCUUUGCUGACGAGUGGCGGACGGGUGAGUAAUGUCUGGGAAACUGCCUGAUGGAGGGGGAUAACUACUGGAAACGGUAGCUAAUACCGCAUAGCGUCGCAAGACCAAAGAGGGGGACCUUCGGGCCUCUUGCCAUCGGAUGUGCCCAGAUGGGAUUAGCUAGUAGGUGGGGUAACGGCUCACCUAGGCGACGAUCCCUAGCUGGUCUGAGAGGAUGACCAGCCACACUGGAACUGAGACACGGUCCAGACUCCUACGGGAGGCAGCAGUGGGGAAUAUUGCACAAUGGGCGCAAGCCUGAUGCAGCCAUGCCGCGUGUAUGAAGAAGGCCUUCGGGUUGUAAAUACU
rnacentral:rRNA from 1 species